GGGGGAUAACACCGGGAAACCGGUGCUAAUACCGCGUACGCUCAGCGGGGUUAGAGGCCCGUUGAGGAAAGCUCUGGCGGCGGAGGAGGGGGCUGCGGUCCAUCAGCUAGCUGGUGCGGUAAAGGCGCACCAGGGCGACGACGGAUAGGGGACCUGAGAGGGUGACCCCCCACACUGGUACUGACACACGGACCAGACUCCUACGGGAGGCAGCAGUAAGGAAUAUUGCGCAAUGGAGGAAACUCUGACGCAGCAACGCCGCGUGCGGGAUGAAGGUCUUCGGAUCGUAAACCGCUUUUACGGGGGAAGAUAAUGACGGUACCCCGUGAAUAAGUCUCGGCUAACUACGUGCCAGCAGCCGCGGUAAAACGUACGAGGCAAGCGUUAUCCGGAUUUACUGGGCGUAAAGCGCGUGCAGGCGGUGGUUUACGUCGUGCGUGAAAGCUCCCUGGCUCAACCGGGAGAGUUCGUGCGAAACUGGAAUCACUGGAGGCAGGUAGAGGCAGACGGAAUUCCGGGUGUAGUGGUGAAAUGCGUAGAUAUCCGGAGGAACACCAGUGGCGAAGGCGGUCUGCUGGCCCUGACCUGACGCUCAGACGCGAAAGCGUGGGUAGCGAACGGGAUUAGAAACCCCGGUAGUCCAUGCUGUAAACGAUGCUGACUGGGCGUUGGCUCCGUCAAGGAGUCAGUGCCGAAGCUAACGCGUUAAGUCAGCCGCCUGGGGACUACGGCCGCAAGGCUAAAACUCAAAGGAAUUGACGGGGGCCCGCACAAGCAGCGGAGCGUGUGGUUUAAUUCGAGGCUACACGAAGAACCUUACCUGGGCUUGACAUAUGGGUGGUAGGGAACCGAAAGGGGACCGACCUUCGGGAGCCCAUACAGGUGCUGCAUGGCUGUCGUCAGCUCGUGUCGUGAGAUGUUCGGUUAAGUCCGGUAACGAGCGCAACCCCUGGUGUCAGUUAUAAGUGUCUGGCACGACUGCCCGGCUAAACUGGGAGGAAGGUGGGGAUGACGUCAAGUCAGCAUGGCCUUUAUGUCCAGGGCUACACACACGCUACAAUGGCCGGUACAAUAGGUAGCCAACCCGCGAGGGGGAGCCAAUCCAAUAAAACCGGUCUCAGUUCGGAUUGCAGGCUGCAACUCGCCUGCAUGAAGUCGGAGUUGCUAGUAAACGCAGGUCAGCCAUACUGCGUUGAUACGUUCCCGGGCCUUGUACGCACCGCCCGUCACGUCAUGGAAGCUGGUCACGCCUGAAGUCGGUGGGCUAACCUAACGGA
rnacentral:rRNA from 1 species